AUGCAUGGAGUCUGUGGCCUUACAAAUAACCUCCAAAAUAUGAACACAUCUAAGCUACAGUUGCUGUUCAGACAUUCUUUGGGAGAGGUAAAGAAAAGAAGAAAAACUAAGAUCAACUUCUCCAGAGAGGACAAGUUUCAUCCCAACAGCCCCCCAAUGAAAACCAACAGUGGCGGUUUCUAUUGGAAAUGUUAAUUACUUCUGUGGAUAAUUAGACUUGCAGGGUUUUGGAAGCAUCUGACCUCACUUAAUAAUGGCAGAAGAAGGUGAGUGGGGGGGGGGGGAAGAGAUGUGUUUUACACAUGCAGAGGGAAGCUAAACCAGGAGAAAACUCCCAGAUUAAAGGGGUAUCUACUAGUGUUGUGCAUUUGUAUGGAAUUGCUGAUCGUUUUGUGUAGUCUCAUUCAUGUUGUGUCAUUUUUAUAUUUGUGUCCCGCUAACAAAUAUUGGCCACCUAUACGACACAAAUUUUCAUCUCACUAACAAGAAACACAAAUAUUUUUAUGCCAAGGAGAGGGAGGGAGGAGUAAGGCAAAGUAAAAGAAACCAAUAGAAGAAAAGUUAGCCCAAGCAGAAGUUAUUCAUUUCCUUUUAAAUUUAUUUAUUUAUUUAUUUUUAAACACAUCAUAAUAAAUAAUGAAUGGGGGGGGGGGGAAGAAGGGGUUUUUGAACUAGUUCCCCAGCCAAACCCACCUGAUAUUGUUAUUAAAGUAUUUUAAAAACAAGCUCUCUCUGCAGCCAGCCACUGCCAGCCAGGCAGGCAGAACUGUUUGUUCCCUAAUCCCCAGCAAGGCGAAGCAGAAAGCAGUGCACUUGGGGGGAGGAUUACAAUGAAACUCCAAAAAAGCAUUUGCUUUCAAAAAUGUUAAAUAAAAAUAAAACACCCAAGGGAACACUAGGGUUGUGGAGACUUGCAACAUCUGUAAAUGACUAAUUGUUUUCCAUUCCCAUUCUCACAUUAUUUGCCAUCUUGCUUGGUUGUAUUGUAGCUUCUUUGCAAAGGAACACAUACGUGCAUUUAAGGCCCUUUCCACACAACUGUAUUAAAUCUACAUUGAACUAGAUUAUAUGGUAGUAUGGACUCAAAUAAUCCACUUCAAAACAGACAUUGUGGAUUAUCUGCCUUGAUAUUCUGGGUUAUAUGGCUGCAUGGAAGGGCCCUAAGGCACACUCAUUUUUGUGUAAAUCACUAACAGGAUUCUGCCCUGUUUUGUGAAGGAAUGGGCAAAAGGUAGUCCUCCAAAUGUAGUUGGACUGCAAGUGUGAGAAGCCCUAGACAGCAAAGCCAAUGAUAAAUCUUACUGGGAGUUCCUGCACAACCCCAAUGGGAAAGUUACACUUUGCUUUCCUAUCCUGGUUAAGCAGGAUGACCUUCUGGGAUUCUCCUCAUAUGAAUCUGCCAACUUUUCCAUGCUGAGCGUGGUAGAACAUCUGAAUUUAAGUCUGGUCCCCUCCUUCUAUUGUUCCCUACUUAUUACUUAUGUUCCAGUCCAUUUGGCCUUAAUUGUGUGACUUGCUAUUGACAGUUAUGAUAAGUUAAGAUAAACCGACAAAGACAGAGGGAAGAAGAUGACACUUUAGGAAACUGGAAGCUUUCCAAACUUUGUACCCAUUUUGCAAGUUAAGAUACUUUUGUCGUAUAUACCUCAUCUUAUAUCUGAGGUAUGGCAAACAUUUCCCCGUUGUCUCUUUUAACACAAUAUUUGUGAUAAAUUUCUGAAAGAAAAUAAUAAAGCAAUAAACAAGCACAUGGUAGGGAGAUAAAAACUUAAAGCAUAAUAAUGUGAUGAUUCCAGAUGUCAUAGGAAGGGCAAGUAUCCAACCUUUCCUUUGGAAAGCCUUCACACUGUACAGCUGUUGACAGUAAUAAUUUCCAUUAGUCUUAAGGAGAUGAAACACAAUGCUGAAAAAUGAGAGAGGGCCAUCGCAAAAUAUCUCAGCAGGGUUCUUCCUUCUAAUGUUUAUAAUCCAUCUAAAGCUUUUUGACAUCUUCUUGGACUUCAAAGGCUGCAAAGGUAGCAGGGGAAUCACAACCAUCCUCAGCUAAAUUCAACACAAUCUGGAAAAGACACAUCUGUUGUUUUCUCCAUACCAUGCCUGUGAGAGAUUUCUUUUUUAACUCUGUCCAUUAUGUUUUUGCCUCUCUCUGAUACGUUAGUUCCAUUUUGAUCUGACAGUAAAAAGUUCCACAUGUCUGAACUUUUACUUUAUUUAAAGCUGCCCUUUCCUAUUCCAUUCUUCUCUGCCUUAAGCAACUAGACCUCUUGGAAGGCUUCAGGCGGUGAGUUCUUGGACAAACUUAGAGACAACCUGCAGAAAAGCAUGAAGACAAAUACCUUCUAUUAAUCAUUUGCCACUAUACUGCCAUUUCAUACACUGAGACAGGAUUUUGAAAUGUUGGUGGAUUUGUUUUCCCCUGGCCAAUUGUGCUUACAAAUACCCAGGCCAACGAUAUUUAAACAGAACAUUUCUCACUGACAUGUUAAAUGAUCUGAUUCACAUUAUAGCUAAUAGUACUCGCCUGCCUGAGUGAACAUUAUUUCACUUUACCGAUCUGAUUUGGCCACACCUUCUGCCCUGAGACCAUUCAAAUAAAAAGACAGCAGAUCUAUUGACUGAUUGGGGGGUUGGUGGUGGUUGUGAGCUGAUGUACUCAAUCACAUCAGUGGACAUCUGUUGAAACAAAAAAGUAUUGCACACCAAGAGAGGCUGUUAGUUCAAGACAGAGCAAAUCAGGCAAAGCAAUGCACCCAAGGCUCUGUUGUUACAGUUUGUCACACUUUAGAAAGUUAUGUGUUAAAAGCGAUUUUUGUUACAACAUUUGAACAUAACCCAAUGUCAUUGCUGAUCACAAUGGUGAAAAAAUAACUAGUUAUUGUACUGCCAACGAGUUUUCCAUUAGCUUCUCUUAGCUUUUUUAAAGAGUGGGAGAAACUUUAGGAUUGACAAGAAAAAUUAAACUUAAAAAAUAUGUCAAAUAUUCCUUAAAAGUAACUUGCAAAACUAGCUGGAACCCCCUAUGGUGCCUUUAUUGCAUUCUUAUCACUUCUGAAGAAGCUUCUUAGAGUUGGAGUAUUACUUGAAAUUAUUUACUUC
rnacentral:lncRNA from 1 species